UGGAAACCCAUUCAAUUAGUAAAGGAUGGUCCCAAACUUUCACAUUUAUUCUUUGCCAAUAACUUGGUUCUCUUUGAAAUAGCUUUCUAUAACUUGAUGGAAGUGAUUGAGAGAUGUAUGACUCGAUUCUAUAGUGUUUCUUGUCAAAAGCUGAAUAAGGAAAAAACUAAGCUCUGUGUAUCCGCUAAUGUUCAUUUUAAUAGAACCCAAGAGCUCAAUGAUGUUCUUGGUGUUGGGUUAACUGGAGACUUGAGAAAAUAUUUGGGUAUUCCUCUAAUUCAUAAGAGGGUGACUUAUAGAAUCUAUGUACUGAUCUUGUCAAAUGUAAGAAGAAGGUUGUUGAGUUGGAAAGGUAGGUAUCUCACCUUGGCUGGUUGGUUAAUUUUGGUCAAAUCUAUUAUCUUCACCCUUCCCUCAUCUUUUAUGCAAACCAUUCUCCUUCCAACAAGCACUCUUAAUGAGCUUGAAAGCAUAAGCCGUGAUUUUUUACAGGGAGAAAAUGAAGACAAGAAGAAGAUUAUCUCCUUUCGUGGCAGACCUUGUAGAAAUAUAGGAAUUGUGGCGGGUUGGGUAUUAAAAACUUGACAUACCAAAGUAAAUCUUUCAUUUGAAAACUUUGUUGGGCUUUGGUUACCAACCUUAAGACUUUAUGGGUUCAAGUUCUCAAAUCUAAAUACAAAUGUGGAGUUGGUGUCACACUUGAUAUCAAAAGAAGAAGUGGAGCAUUUAUAACUUGGAAAAGCAUUCUCAAGGUUUGGAACUCCUUUCAACAUAGUUUAGGAAAGUUUAUUGCUUCUGGGAGUCACAUUCUUUCUGGUUUGAUCGUUGGCUUCCCACCAAAACUCCUCUUAUUGACUUAGUGGAACAUGGCAAAGAGUUCAUAGAUAUUAAUGAAAGUGUAAGGGAUCAUGUCCUUUCUUCGGGAACUUGGGAUGUGUACAAAAUGAGACCCUUGCUUCUUAACCAUAUUGUGAACCUCAUUGUAAGCAUGAAAACCCCUUAUGAGGAAUGGAAGAUAACAGAGAACUAGUUUGGUGAGCAAUAUGGAGACAAAAGAUCACAGAGAAGAUCAAAACUAUAUUCUAGUUGAUGGAGCAUGAUAGAGUUCAUACAAUCACACAACGUUUGUGGAGAGGUUUAAUAGAAGAUAUACCUUACCCCUUUAGAUGUAUGGCUUUGGAAGACACUAUCCACCUUUUUUGUGACUGUACUCCUACCAAGCAUUGGUGGAAUGAGUAUGUGCACCAAGAUAUGUUGGAUAUAUUUUUUUCUUUAGAUAAGAGGGACUGGUUAUCCUAGAAUAUGAAAGCUCGUGUGGGUAACUCAUCUACUAUGAUUGUGCCCUAGAACACUUUAUUUGCUUACAUUUGUUGGAAUAUUUGGAUAGAUGCAGGGUUCUCUUUCAAGGUUGUACCGAUGUGAUUUAGGAGGAUCCAUACUUCUUUUUAUUCAAUGUUGUUGCCGACGUUAAAUUGUCUAGUAAUUUUGACUUACUUCCUAGAGAUAGAAAUGUUGUGCUCUAAAAUCCUUUGAAUGAUGUUGCUAUCAUACUUGAAAUCGAUGACCCAAUCCUUAAGAAUGGCA